rnacentral:rRNA from 1 species
UACGAAGGGGGCUAGCGUUGUUCGGAAUUACUGGGCGUAAAGCGCGCGCAGGCGGUCUUUCAAGUCAGUGGUGAAAGCCUGGAGCUCAACUCCAGAACUGCCAUUGAAACUGCAAGACUUGAGUACGAGAGAGGUGAGUGGAAUUCCCAGUGUAGAGGUGAAAUUCGUAGAUAUCAGGAGGAACACCGGUGGCGAAGGCGGGUCUCUGGGCAGUAACUGACGCUGAGGAGCGAAAGCGUGGGGAGCGAACAGG